AGAAAUCAGAGAAGGUUCCCAUUCAAAAUAUUGUGGCGUAAUUUCUAAUUUGUCAACUUGUUCCUCCUUAUUUUGAAGUCUCAUUCGCUCAUAAGUUGAUCAUUUCAAGAUGGAUAGCCAAGUACAGGCGGAUGGCAGGUUGCUCGACCUCGUGGAUAGAGCAUGGCGAUCGGAGGAGCUUCCCCAUGAUGAAAUAAUUGUCCCUGCUGCUGAACUGCCGGAUCCAGAAGCCGACAACGGCGAUUCUCAUACCACACUGAAAGAAGCCCAGUCAAAAUGGACAGACCUUUCCCUCAGUGGGCUCGGCGAACAGCAAUUUGGCUCUGUUUUACACAAUGUUAUGUACAUAUAAUGCUCCUAUUUAUUGUUUUACUUUUGUCAAUUUUUUCUCCAUUAAAAUAAUUAUAAAGUAUG